GACGAACGCUGGCGGCGUGCCUAACACAUGCAAGUCGAGCGGGGACAUGGAGGAGCUUGCUCCGAGAUGUUCUAGCGGCGGACGGGUAAGUAACGCGUGAGCAAUCUGUCCCAGACAGGGGGAUAACAGAUGGAAACAUUUGCUAAUACCGCAUGAGACCACAAUGUCGCAUGGCAAAGGGGUCAAAGGAGCAAUCCGGUCUGGGGUGAGCUCGCGUCUGAUUAGCUAGUUGGUGAGGUAACGGCCCACCAAGGCGACGAUCAGUAGCCGACCUGAGAGGGUGAUCGGCCACAUUGGAACUGAGACACGGUCCAA
rnacentral:rRNA from 1 species